GAGGAGAGAAGUCUUUUCUCUUAUUUUCAGCAAGGAGAAUUCAACCUCUUAUUUUUACUUUGUAUUUGUCCUUCCAGCCUCUAAGCAGGGAAAUGAGUAGCGGUAACAGAGAGACCUCAGCAAGUUCGAAAGGAGUGAGGGCACCAGGGUGCAGCUAACUGGUCUUUUCUUUUGCACACUGGGUGUGAUUUAGACUUCAGGUAGGACAGUGCAGGUGGGUGCUGGGAGCGGACUCAGUUCUUUCGUGGGGAUCUUUGGGCUAAUGAAGUGAUUAAGGCUUGGGAGAAGUAGGCUACGCUACAGUAAACUGGAUAGCCAAAUCCGGUUUCUGUAAAUCUAGUGUUCACAUUGCUACAGUCAGAGAACAGACUUGGUGGAGCUCAGACAACCCCUGCUUUCCAUUUUAAACCCACAGUCAUGCCGCUUAUUGAAACCAUCAGCAGGAGGAGUUUGGAUAAAGCUGAAGUUCCACUUAGGCGCUCGGUGAUCCAUCUGGGAAGACAGUGGCCACAGCCCAACAGGAGGCCGGGGAACCUGGACCCCACCAGCCAAGCUUUGAGAAGCAGAUAGGCUUGAAUGAGCAUGGAAUGUAUCUAUUUAAAAAGCAGCUGGAAGUCUGUCAAGUGCAUUCUGGAAAUGGAUUCAGGCUAACAGAGUGUUCUGAAUAGAGACGCCUAAAACAAGAGCCAAAGACAUAGCAAUGGAGAACGUGGGUGGUACAGCCCUCCACCCUGGCGAGCAGCACAUUAGAAUCACGUAGGAGCUUAAAAAGUACUGACUGGCCUGGUCUUUUUCGGUGUGAAGGUGGGAUGCAGGCUUCCUGGGGUUAUCCUCUCGUACAGCCAGAGUUGAGAACCAUCUGAGUAGCGCUUGUCACACUUCUGGCCACAUCAGAAUCGUCUGAGGGA
rnacentral:lncRNA from 10 species